rnacentral:rRNA from 1 species
CUACGUGCCAGCAGCCGCGGUAAUACGGAGGGUGCGAGCGUUAAUCGGAAUAACUGGGCGUAAAGGGCACGCAGGCGGUGACUUAAGUGAGGUGUGAAAGCCCCGGGCUUAACCUGGGAAUUGCAUUUCAUACUGGGUCGCUAGAGUACUUUAGGGAGGGGUAGAAUUCCACGUGUAGCGGUGAAAUGCGUAGAGAUGUGGAGGAAUACCGAAGGCGAAGGCAGCCCCUUGGGAAUGUACUGACGCUCAUGUGCGAAAGCGUGGGGAGCAAACAGGAUUAGAUACCCUGGUAGUCCACGCCGUAAACGAUGAGUGCUAGGUGUUGGGUCCUUUCCGGGACUCAGUGCCGCAGCUAACGCAUUAAGCACUCCGCCUGGGGAGUACGACCGCAAGGUUGAAACUCAAAGGAAUUGACGGGGGCCCGCACAAGCGGUGGAGCAUGUGGUUUAAUUCGACGCAACGCGAAGAACCUUACCAGGUCUUGACAUUGAKGACAGAACUAGAGAUAG